rnacentral:piRNA from 1 species
UGUCCUUCCGUGCCUUGUUUAGUCUUGU